CCCACUACUUUUGCUGGCUAGCAUCAUGCGAUAUGCCACGUGGAUCAGAAACAAAAGAAGCAAGAAUCAAUGAAGGAUGAAGAGUUGGAGACAGCUAGGAUAUUGAUUGCAGGCUUAAAGAGUCUACCCUGUGUGUUGUCAGAUGAUGCUGUGUGGUGAGUAGCUCUAUCACAAGUCAGUGGAGGACCAGGAGAGGAGCAUCCUAGAGAGGAAGAGGAAGAUACAGCACGCCAUUACGGUGUGUGAUAAGGCAUGCCUGAAAGAGUGUGGUGGUCUGGGGGCUGACAGCUGUAAGGAGUGUGCCCUGUGAUAUGAGGAGGUGGAGGGAUCUUGUACAGAUAUUGAUGAGUGUAGAGAAGAUGACUCCAUCUGUUCUGAUGGUACCUACUGUCUCAACACCCCGGGGAAGCAUCACUGUUAGGGUGUUAUAUUAUAAUAAUUUUAUUAUAAUACACUCUAAGAAUACGCGCAAAGGACAUAAUUAUACAGCAGUGCUUGUGGGAGGAACAAUUGAUGUUCGUGAGUUGUUUGAUUUGAGGGCAGGCUUUUGUUAAUAUUCAUAAUUAGGAGGGGACCAAUUUUAAGUUUAUUUCGAUGGUAUAGGGAAUACAUAGGUUGUUCAGUUUCUUUGGUGGAUCUCUAUUGCUAUACGUACGGAUUGUACUUAAAAAAAUAUCGGAAUAAUACACGCUAACAAUAUCACGCUAAGAAUACACGCAAAGGACAUAUACAGCAGUGCUUGUGGGAGGGACAAUUGAUGUUUGUAAGUUGUUUGAUUUCAGGGCAGGCUAAAUAUUAUUAUUCAUAAUUAGGAGGGGACCAAUUUUAAGUUUAAUUAUAAAUUGUUUCGAUGGAAUACAUAGGUUGUGCAGUUUCUUUGGUGGAUCUCUCUAUUCCUACGUAUGGAUUGUGCUUGUAAGUAUUAGGUUAUGGGUACUUUUUAUUGCGGAAUAUCGUUUGACGGGAAGUUGAUUACACUCACUGGAAUAGAUGUAACGUACUCUGUUAUACGAUAGAUGCUUUUUAUUGCCGAGCUUAGACUGGUUGCUUAAAUUUAGCUGUCUCUUGGACUGGUGUUUCUCGGGAUCGUGGAUAUAAAAUAGAAUCUUCAAUUUCUCCCUAAAAAAUAAGGCAGGCCAUGUGCUAUAAUAUUGUUAUUAUUGUUAUUAUUAUUAUUUUGAUACUAAUUCCAAUGUGGUCUACACAUCAUUACAUCAUUAACUGUCGUUAACUCACCCACAUUAUCAGUUUGUAAUUCGGUGAUAAACCACAUCAUUUCAAGCUUGUUGUUAAUUUUUGUCUCUAACACUUUGUGUUGUCAUGACUUUAUCCCUGAUGUCACGUCGUCUUCCACAUUAUCCUUAUAAUUAGAUGGUUGCGUGCAAUACCUAUAGAGCUAUUUCUAUCCUUCACGUCAACUACUUAUCUUGCUAUAUAAGGCAAACCACAGCAUUCGUUGUACAGUCAUGAUUACUUUCAUCCCCCCUCGUCAUAAUUAUGACAUUUGUAAUAUCAUUCCAUCUUUCAUACUCUCCUUGGGUGACAUUCUCCGAUGCUAUCGCUCAACUGAUGUCAGGCCAGGAACUACCGGACCGUAACAUUCAUCUCAAAUUUGCCGCUCCAACUUUCAACUGAUAUGGCAUGCACUCCCCUUGCAACUAUAUUUAAUUGCUAUCUCCUUACGAUCCAGAUAUAAGACCUCCGCUAUAUCAUUCAGUGCACGUGGGAUAAAUCUCAAUUGCAGCCCUGACCCUUCCCACCUAUGGCCACUAAUACUUCUCAACGCUAUAUGGGACAUUUUAUGAACUUGACGCCACAGUGAAAGUACACACAACUUACCACCGGACCUCGAUCGCUCUCCGAUGUAAAGCAGAAGCCUACCGUAUAGGGCAAAAUUUUCGAGGGGCUUAAUUUUCACUAUCUCCUCUCGAUUGUCACUAAAUACUGUGGGAAGUCUGACACCACCACAAUAUGGAUAUGACGAUCAUUUCGCUGGAUAAACAUAAUAAACAUUAAAUCACCUCCCCUGAUAAUUGAAGCGAAGACAACUUGAACUCGUGAGCACGGCAACACCUACUGGGUCACCGAUGAUUGAAGCGAAGACAACUUGAACUCGUGAGCACGGCAACACCUACUGGGUCACCUCCCCCUGAUGAUUGAAGCGAAGACAACUUGAACUCGUGAGCACGGCAACACCUACUGGGUCACCUCCCCCUGAUGAUUGAAGCGAAGACAACUUGAACUUGUGAGCACAGCAACACCUACUGGGUCACCUCCCCCUGAUGAUUGAAAUGAAGACAACUUGAACUCGUGAGCACGGCAACACCUACUGGGUCACCUCCCCCUGAUGAUUGAAGCGAAGACAACUUGAACUUGUGAGCACGGCAACACCUACUGGGUCACCUCCCCUGAUGAUUGAAGCGAAGACAACUUGAACUCGUGAGCACGGCAACACCUACUGGGUCACCUCCCCCUGAUGAUUGAAGCGAAGACAACUUGAACUUGUGAGCACAGCAACACCUACUGGGUCACCUCCCCCUGAUGAUUGAAAUGAAGACAACUUGAACUCGUGAGCACGGCAACACCUACUGGGUCACCUCCCCCUGAUGAUUGAAGCGAAGACAACUUGAACUCGUGAGCACGGCAACACCUACUGGGUCACUUCCCCCUGAUGAUUGAAGCGAAGACAACUUGAACUCGUGAGCACGGCAACACCUACUGACUCAGCAUCUCACCAUCUCAAUUGCCAUGCACAUAUUCUAAUUAUAGUAUUAUGGGGUCACUACCCAUUUUUUACUAUUUUAAGUUAUAGUAGUGUGGUCUGCCAUUAAACUGUAUGAUAAUAGUGCUUGUUGGAAACUACCUCUGAGAUGUGUUAACAGUCUUGUUGUUCUGGAAACCUCUUAUGAGCGUUAGCUGCAUGGUCUUAUUGUCCUUUUGUAUCUCUGAGAUGUGUUAACUGGUCUUUUUGUCCUGGAAACCCGAGAUGUCUUGUGACUAUAUACUGUGGAUUGAACAUUGUCGUUAACUGGUGUAGCUGGUUUGAACUUUAUUAUUAUUUAAAGCCUAGGCAAAAAGAAGGAAAAAAAAGAUUCCCCCCAAAAAAGAUUUUGAUAGUAAUUGCCUGCCCUCCCAUAAUUUUCAUGUUUCUGUUUGUUGCUUGAUUUUUUGAUUUUUAGUUGUUUGAUGUUUAAUUUUAUAAUGUUGUAGUAUGGGGCUCCCUGACGAGUUUGGAUUUAGUUCUUCUGCUUCAAUCUGGUAAUCUUGCCUUGUACUUUGGGGAGUGGGCCGAUCCUUGAUGGUGUGUGUCGUAGAUUUAUCAGUAGUAGUAGCAUCGCACAUAGCUAGUGGCUUAUUGGUAGUAGUCGUUGUCGGGGUGUUUGUUGCCAUCGAUCCACUAUAAUACGAGUAGUCUCUUAAAGAGUUUAUGUUGGUGGAAAGCCGUGGAGGUAUGCACGGGACUAAACUUACUACCUCUCGUAUUACUCGUAGUAGCUCCCUCUGCAAGAAAAUAAAACAUUGUGAUAAAUAAUCGUUAACAUGAGUAACAAAAUGUUAUAUAGCGAUGAAUAAUCGAUCAUGUCUGUAAUAAACUUACGUUAGUUUCGAGAAGCCGCUCUACUGUUGUUAUAAUUAUGUCCCUGCCUUCCCGAACCCGCGGCCGUGCCUAAGUCCGUACCUCCUUGAUCUUCUAUGUCCGUGGGAUAUUUGGUAGAUCGUAGCCAAAUUGCAUAGUCUAAGUUUCGGAGUUGAUCAACAAACUUUAUGUUGGGGCUGGGUACGAGGGCGUCUGUAAAUUGAAGAAUCAUAGAUAAAAAAAAGGCUCGGAAGUUGAUCAGUCCUUAACCACAUACAAUUAAAGGAGUGGGCUGUCAAGCAUAACAAACUUAGCAAAUACGGCUUUACAUGGAUGCCAACUGCAUGCAGUCGUUACUGACAUCAUAGGUAAUGGUCGUGAUUAUGUUGAAAUUAUGAGCUCCAGAACCACACCCACAUUACCAGUCUUACAAGCAUCCAGAAAUGUCUGGGAGAAAAUACAUUAUUAGUAAACACCCAAUGACAAAAAUUGUAUGUACAUGUUAUAAUACUGGUCAAGAUUCUAUAGCCAGGUUUCCUGGUAAUGAUCGUCAAUUUUGUAAUCGAUUAAUGAAAAUAGUUAGCUUUGAGACUGUUGAAAUUAUGAGCUCCAGAACCACACCCACAUUACCCGUUUUACAAGCAUCCAGAAAUGUCUGGGAGAAAAUACAUUAUUAGUAAAAGAUGGAAUGACAAAAAUUGUAUAUAUUCGAGAUUCUAUACAUGUAGCCAGGUUUCCUGGUAAUGAUCGUCAAUUUCAAUUUUGUAAUUAAAAUAGUAGCCUUGAUACCUAGACAUAAGUUGGCCUGACCACUCUAAGCUUGCUUACAUACAAUGUCUUGAAAUUAACUGGAUUUGUCUUUGUAUCUAGCUAUAGCAACCAUCACGUGACUCUUUGCAAAAAGAAAAAUGGCAAGCGGGAAAUUUAAAAUGUUGUCUACGCAUAUACGCCAGCAGUGCAACGCUUGCAGCCAUGCAAUUAGUCGGCGUAAUGGAAAUGGCAUUAUAGUGUCUGCCAUGAAAGUCAAAACUUACUAUGAACUUCCUUCAAGUGCUUUAUUAAGACUGCAUGCAUGGCGGUUCGAAAGGAAUGAUCCUUGGUAUCAAUUGGAUCUUUCCAUGUAAACUUCGUCUGUAUGGAAUGACAUACAAGCUUUAUCAUAGCGACACUAUUUCGUACGCAUGCACAUGACAUAAAAUAGCUAUAAAUCGACUUAGACUGCGUGCUAAGUUUAAUUUUGCGCUACUUACGAUCAUGGGAGCUCCAGGCUGUAUAUAACAUCGUGGGCACACCAAUUCCUCAGUACUGCCACUUCUUUUCAUAAUAAUAUUGAAAUACGCUCACAAUCAUUUUGUGGGUAUGCCGCUGUACACAGAAUAAUGUAUGUUUCCAUCCUGCUAUCUACAAUCAGACAAUCAAUGCACAGAACUGAAGAAGAAGCUGGCUCUCUGCAAGUCACUCAGAUUUGCAAGUACUUGGACAUUACAGCUUGAGGGUCACCACGUACAUGUACGUAGUAACGAUCUGAAUGGGGCCAGCAAUCAUCAUGGCCAUAUGCUCACCAUGACAACAAUACGGUAUGGUGGCUAGCUGUUUAACCUGACCUGCUGUGCGGAUAUGAGAUUCAAAUUAUGAGUAAACUAUUCAAGUACUUGUACAGCAAUUACAAGUACUUACAAUGUCAUGUACGUACUUGCUUACCCAUGAUUAGGAAAACGAUCCUCUGCUUACGGGAGGUAACUUGUACAAUGACUGAGAGAAGGAGUGAUCAGCAGCAAUACUCUAGUAAAUUGCAAUCAUCCUCUGUAAUGGAAGAUGUGUGCAGAACUGGAGUGACUGAUCAACAGCUCGAUCAAGAAAUCCCCAACAGUGACAUCUACAGUUUAGCUGAGAUGACAACCUGGCAUGCUUGGAAGACUCGGACUCACUACUGCUGAAAAAAAACGAUGCUACUCGAAAGAGAAAGUACGAAGGCAAUCAAACAGGAAUGGCUCAUGCAUUGAGAGUGUGGCAAAGAGUGAAUCCUUCCAGAGCUACCUUCAGGGCCUUGGUGGAAAUUGCCAUAGGACUGAGAAGAGGAGACACUGCUACAGAUAUUUGUAGAUUCAUUGCAGAACUGAACAAAACUGACUUUUAACGUUUUGUUUUAUUGAUGCUGUUUUAUGUGUCUGCUUAUAAUUAUUGUGAU